GAUCCUGGCUCAGGAUGAACGCUAGCUACAGGCUUAACACAUGCAAGUCGAGGGGCAGCAUCAUCAAAGCUUGCUUUGAUGGAUGGCGACCGGCGCACGGGUGAGUAACACGUAUCCAACCUGCCGACAACACUGGGAUAGCCUUUCGAAAGAAAGAUUAAUACCGGAUGGCAUAAUUAUUCCGCAUGGGAUAAUUAUUAAAGAAUUUCGGUUGUCGUGGAGNGCGUCUACUAGU
rnacentral:rRNA from 1 species